ACCUACGGGGCGCAGCAGUGGGGAAUAUUGCACAAUGGGGGAAACCCUGAUGCAGCGACGCCGCGUGAGUGAAGAAGAAUUUCGGUAUGUAAAGCUCUAUCAGCAGGGAAGAUAAUGACGGUACCUGAGUAAGAAGCCCCGGCUAACUACGUGCCCGCAGCCGCGGUAAUACGUAGGGGGCAAGCGUUAUCCGGAUUUACUGGGUGUAAAGGGAGCGUAGACGGCAUGGCAAGUCUGAAGUGAAAGCCCGGGGCUCAACCGCGGAACUGCUUUGG
rnacentral:rRNA from 1 species